AGCCAUGCUUAAAUCUUUGCACGCGUAUGCUGUUUAACAGAGAAAGGACAGCCAUAUUGUACUCCAUGACGAGAAAAAAGAGAUGGUGAAGACUGUACCAUUGGUUAUUGGAGCAGGGGUCUUGACAGCCACCAUUCUUGUACUAUACAACAUUAGCCAGCCAACCAACAACGUUAUAAAGUUUCUCCGAUUCAAUCUAACGAACAAUGACAGGAAUAUUGUCUCUGGGUCGAAACCGAACAUUUUAGUGCAGGAAUUCCGUCCACAAUUUCCCAAGUCAAAAUCUUUGGCACAAAAAUUGUUUGAUAAAGAACUUUCUAGGAUAAGCAAGAACUUAAAGGAUGGGAAUAUUGCAGACUACGACCCCGAGCCCCCCUCUGUUGUUUAUGUGAAUUCAAACGACGCUAAGAUUGGGGGAUUCGCCCAAACCUUUCAAGAUUUACAGAACCAUAUUGCAAAUGGACAGCUUAACGGUUUCGAACCUCAUCCCCAACUGGACCAGAACUUUCACUAUAUGCAAUUGCCAAAUAUCCCCGAUAACAACCAAAACAUUUAUAAACCUGUUCAUGUACUGUCUGCUCCCAAAGACCAGAACUACCAAAAUAGCCAGUUAACGAAUGAAAAUCUACAGAAUCCGUCGCCAAAAGUCCCUAUUGAACAAACUAACCAAAAUGUUCCUGUACAGCAGAAUAAUCAAAAUGUUCCUAAUGACCAAAACAACCAAAACGUACCGGUAGAACAGAACAACCAACAGAUACCGGUUCACCAAGACAACCAAAAUGCACAGGUGCAAAACGAUCCUACUCAACAAGGUUGGAAAGUUGUGAAUACAAAAGAGCAGGUGCCCGAGAAUCCAGAGGGACCUCACAAAGAUCAGCUCCAGAUUCCAGCAGCCGAGUCAAACGGACAGAGGCCGCCUGACCAAUUCCAUUACGACCCUCGGUCUCAGGGGGUGUGGCAAACGAUGAAACCGGCCUCCCAGCUAGCUGGUCUCGUCCAACAGGCUGAUGCUGUCUGACAUGAAUCAUGGAACUUUAUCCAAUUCAUUAAAGCAUGUCGUGCUCCAUUUUUU
rnacentral:misc_RNA from 1 species